GGUGUAUGACAUGCUUGCCGCAUGUAACCAUGCUGUGGUGUUUAAAUAGCCUCAUGUUGUAAUCUGACAGAUCCCAGUCUUCCAACCUGCUGUGAGGGAUCUGGCAAUGAAUAGGACCUUUACCAUCAUCAGUACCUAUUUCCCGGACUUCAGCUACAGUGACUGGAUUGUGUGGUUCCAUGUGAAACUGGUUCCUCUCCUCCCAAGUUUCAGUCCAACCAUGCUCAUGACUGUAACGUCAAGCACAAACUGCACAACCUACCGUGUCGUGUGAGUAGCAUUUCACAAACAAGUGCAUUGCACCAAAGUGCGCUAAUACAAGUUAGCCGUUACGUAAACCUCUUUUUUUUUUUCCCGCACUCUUUGCAGUGUGAGUGGCUUGGCCUUGGUUUUCCCUGAAAUACCAUUGCAAACAGCACAAGAGAUCACAGCUGUUUUGCUGGGAUACCUGAAGAAAUCAGUCGCUGUCAUCGGUGAGCCAGCUUGCAGACCGGGAAACCAGAAUGUCACCAAGUGGCUGGACGAAAACUUGGGUCCAUUUUUACAGUUUGCACCAUACGCUGAUCUCAAAGUCUUCAACAUCUCUGCCGUGGCAGUCGUGGGCUCUCUCUCACCAAACCAAAAGGCUGAACUGAUCUUGGAUCCAACCAGUGGCGCUUUGGAGGAUGUGGCCAUCGUACAGAAGGUGUUCGCAAGCUUGACCGAAUCCGCUGGUAUCGAGCAGCUCAGUCUGUUCUUCCUGGCUUUUACAGAAGUCACCAAGCAGGAAAACAUCACCAUCAUCGAGAACCCAGCGGUACGAGAAACCAUCUUGAACCUGACGCUGACAGCCAUUGCUCCUGAAUUUGUACAGUUUGGGCCCCAAGACUUUGGGCUGUGGUUCCAGGUCUAUUUGUCCACCGUGAUGGCGAGCCUCCUUCCCGACAGUUUGGUGGCAAUCCCCAGUAACAUCAGCUGCGCAUCCUACGAAGCCAUACUCACUGGUCUUCAGCAAAGUUUGACAUCGCUGCCACUGGAUCUCUCGCAGGGUGUGCGCUCGACCAUGGAGUCAUUCGAGAUGACAUUUGCACGUAUGUGUCAAAACGCUCUGCUGACAAAGCUUUUCAGAAAAGCCUUUUGCCACCGCAUGAUGGCAG
ensembl:lncRNA